rfam:Hordeum vulgare subsp. vulgare, WGS project CAJW01000000 data, contig: morex_contig_67903
UGUUUGCUGUGAUGAGAUCACAAGGACGGUAUCUGAGAAGGUCUCUAAGGAGUGCUACUUCAUUGAUUUUACAUCCUAAACUGAUCAAAUUUUCUGAGCAAACG